GACGGAGGGGGCUAGCGUUGUUCGGAAUGACUGGGUGUAAAGGGCACGUAGGCGGUGGUUUUAGUGAGGCGUGAAAGGCCUGGGCUUAACCCCGGAGGUGCGUUUGAUACUGGAAUGCUAGAGUGCGAGAGAGGAAAGUGGAAUUCCUAGUGUAGAGGUGAAAUUCGUAGAUAUUAGGAAGAACACCAGAGGCGAAGGCGGCUUUCUGGCUCGUAACUGACGCUGAGGCGCGAAAGCGUGGGGAGCAAACAGG
rnacentral:rRNA from 1 species